CAGUAGCCGCGGGAAUACAGAGGUCUCAAGCGUUGUUCGGAUUCAUUGGGCGUAAAGGGAGCGUAGGCGGUCGGGUAAGUUGGAUGUGAAAUCCUGGGGCUCAACCUCAGAACUGCAUUCAAUACUGCUUGGCUAGAGUAUUGGAGAGGUGAGUGGAAUUCACGGUGUAGCAGUGAAAUGCGUAGAUAUCGUGAGGAAGACCAGCGGCGAAGGCGGCUCACUGGACAAUUACUGACGCUGAUGCUCGAAGGCUAGGGGAGCAAACGGGAUUAGAUACCCCCGUAGUCCCUGUCUCUUAUAC
rnacentral:rRNA from 1 species